GCAAUCUAAGUCUUCUGAACUUAUUCAAAUUGUGUAUCUUCACCACAAAUAAUCUUUUCUUCAUACCUUAGGUGUCGAUCUUUCCGAAUGUGCCUUCAUCCUCCAAUUUGAAUCUUUUCUCAAAAACUUCUGCGAUCAACUCUUCAAGACUCCAAACAACUUCACGAAAUUCGCCAACCUAUAAAAUCCUUAACAACAAGCAUGUGCGAAUGAGCACAAAUG
rnacentral:lncRNA from 1 species